rnacentral:rRNA from 1 species
GAUGAACGCUGGCGGCGUGCCUAAUACAUGCAAGUCGAGCGAACGGGCGAGAAGCUUGCUUUUCUGAUGUUAGCGGCGGACGGGUGAGUAACACGUGGAUAACCUACCUAUAAGACUGGGAUAACUUCGGGAAACCGGAGCUAAUACCGGAUAAUAUUUUGAACCGCAGGGUUCAAAAGUGAAAGACGGUCUUGCUGUCACUUAUAGAUGGAGCCGCGCUGCAUUAGCUAGUUGGUAAGGUAACGGCUUACCAAGGCAACGAUGCAUAGCCGACCUGAGAGGGUGAUCGGCCACACUGGAACUGAGACACGGUCCAGACUCCUACGGGAGGCAGCAGUAGGGAAUCUUCCGCAAUGGGCGAAAGCCUGACGGAGCAACGCCGCGUGAGUGAUGAAGGUCUUCGGAUCGUAAAACUCUGUUAUUAGGGAAGAACAUAUGUGUAAGUAACUGUGCACAUCUUGACGGUACCUAAUCAGAAAGCCACGGCUAACUACGUG